rnacentral:rRNA from 1 species
AUUGAACGCUGGCGGCAGGCCUAACACAUGCAAGUCGAGCGGAGCGGCGGAAGGGUGAGUAAUGCCUGGGAAACUGCCCGGUAGAGGGGGAUAACGUCCGGAGACGAGCGCUAAUACCGCAUACAAUCAGAUAAGACUAGGUCGGAUUAGCAAUUGGGUGGGGGAAAGGCCUACAAAGGCGACGAUCAGUAACUGGUCUGAGAGGAUGAUCAUACACAGUGGAACUGAGACACGGUCCAGACUCCUACGGGAGGCAGCAGUGGGGAAUUUUGGACAAUGGGCGAAAGCCUGAUCCAGCCAUGCCGCGUGUGUGAAGAAGGUCUUCGGAUUGUAAAGCACUUUAAGUUGGGAGGCGUUACCAACAGAAUAAGCACCGGCUAACUUCGUGCCAGCCGCCGCGGUAAUAC